rnacentral:tRNA from 1 species
AAGGGAGACCUAAUUCCGGUAGGAGACGAAAAAAAAGUAGUCCCAACCAAGAAUCAAUCCCAAAAGGUCGGAACGAGGUAUGAGGCUUUCAAACUAGGUUCUGGGUUCACACAAGACCUGAAUCAGGAACAAGGGCUAUUAGCUCAGGUGGUUAGAGCGCACCCCUGAUAAGGGUGAGGUCCCUGGUUCGAGUCCAGGAUGGCCCACCUGCACAGGUGGCAAAAACAAGAGAAGCGAGGAAUCAGCACCUUAUCUUAUCUAUAUAUAUAUAGGAGAGAAUGCUGGCUCUGAGUAAAGAGUCCAGAGGAACCUUGAAAACUGCAUAGAGCUAGGUGAAAAAGCCAAAAAAGAAGACCGCAA